UACAGAGGUCUCAAGCGUUGUUCGGAUUCAUUGGGCGUAAAGGGUGUGUAGGUGGCGCCGUAAGUCGGGUGUGAAAUUUCGGAGCUUAACUCCGAAACUGCAUUCGAUACUGCGGUGCUUGAGGACUGGAGAGGAGACUGGAAUUCAUGGUGUAGCGGUGAAAUGCGUAGAGAUCGGGAGGAACACCAGUGGCGAAGGCGGCUACCUGGACCAGCACUGACACUGAGGCACGAAAGCGUGGGGAGCAAACAGG
rnacentral:rRNA from 1 species